UUUAAGGUGGCAGAAUAAAUGCAAAGAUUUUAAGAAUCUUCCAUACUGAAACACGUCCUUAUUU
rnacentral:tRNA from 2 species